UCGAGAAUCAUUCGCAAUGGGCGAAAGCCUGACGAUGCGACGCCGUGUGAGCGAUGAAGGCCUUCGGGUUGUAAAGCUCUUUCGCCUGGGAACAAGAGACGCCGGCUAACAUCCGGCAAAUUUGAGGGUACCAGGUAAAGAAGCACCGGCUAACUCCGUGCCAGCAGCUGCGGUAAUACGGAGGGUGCAAGCAUUAAUCGGAUUUAUUGGGCGUAAAGGGCGCGUAGGCGGGAAUGUAAGUCAGAUGUGAAAUCCCAGGGCUCAACCCUGGAACAGCAUUUGAAACUAUUUUUCUAGAGGAUAGGCGGAGAAAACGGAAUUCCACAUGUAGCGGUGAAAUGCGUAGAUAUGUGGAAGAACACCAGUGGCGAAGGCGGUUUUCUAGCUUAGACCUGACGCUAAAGCGCGAAAGCAAGGGGAUCAAACAG
rnacentral:rRNA from 1 species